rnacentral:rRNA from 1 species
CGUAGGUGGCAAGCGUUGUCCGGAUUUAUUGGGUUUAAAGGGUGCGUAGGCGGUUCCAUAAGUCAGUGGUGAAAUACGAUAGCUUAACUAUUGAGGUGCCAUUGAUACUGCGGAACUUGAGUACAGACGAGGUAGGCGGAAUUGACGGUGUAGCGGUGAAAUGCUUAGAUAUCGUCAAGAACACCGAUAGCGAAGGCAGCUUACUAGACUGUAACUGACGCUGAGGCACGAAAGUGUGGGGAUCAAACAGGAUUAGAUACCCUGGUAGUCCACACUAUAAACGAUGAUUACUCGAUGUUGGCGAUACACAGCCAGCGUCUUAGCAAAAGCGAUAAGUAAUCCACCUGGGGAGUACGCCGGCAACGGUG